UCACCGUGUUUGUUGUUCAGGCCUGUACUUCAAUUCAGCUCCGAUGAAACUACCGCAUGUCGCCUGGCAACUAAUGAGGUGCAAUUUUUCGACACUGGGGAUUUUUCUAAAGGAUUUAUUUAUCGGUUAAGAGUUCCAGGAGUUGCUGCUGCUGAGCUUUCUAGUUCACCUGCUUCUCAUGUAGCUGCAUUUGUUCCGGAAUCCAAGGGUGUUCCUGCUAGUGUACAGAUAUUUGCUUGUGGUGCUUCCCAAAGUCAACCUGUGGCUCGACGAAGUUUUUUCCGAUGUUCUACCACCCAACUUAAAUGGAAUCAUGGUUCAACUGGACUUCUAGUUGUGGUGCAGUCAGAUGUUGAUAAAACCAAUCAGAGUUACUACGGAGAAUCAAAGUUAUACUACCUGACAACAGAUGGGGUGCAUGAAGGAUUAGUGCCUCUUCGGAAAGAUGGGCCUGUUCACGAUGCUCAGUGGUCACAUUCAGGCUUAGAAUUUGCUGUUGUGUAUGGGUGUAUCCUUUUCUCUGUGAUAUGUACAACAUAAGAAUAAACUAUAUGUAUUAAAUAUCCUACUUUUGAAUUUUUAUAUUUGC